CUGCUGUACAUACUAGAACAAGAGUGGAAUCAAAGAGAUCAGUUGGGAAUCCACUAGAAUGAUCCAGAUGAUAGAAAAUGGUGUCUUGGACUAAAAGAGUACUGAUGAAGGUGGUGGGAGAUGGUGAAAUUGUGUUAUAGGCUGAAAGAGAAUCCAACAGGAGUUUUUGUUAAGUUGAAUGAGGAGUAUGAAGGAAAAGAAAGCUAUGGACAAUUCCAAGAUUUGUGGCCUGAUUGCUGAAUGAAUACGGGUUCCCAUUUAGUAAAAGAGUGAGCACUAAGGAAGAGGAAUCUCUACACCCAGCAUGGGGCUCAAACUCACGACCCCGAAAUCAAGAGUCACAUGCUCUACUUACCGAGGCAGCCAGGUGCCCCUACACUGCUUGGAGUGUUAACCCUAGGAAGAUGUUCCUUCCAAUUGUCCUUCAAGGCUAUCCCUACGUGGGUGGACCCACAGCAAUAACUGUGCUAGUGUGGAUGUAUCAGAAAUUCUCAAAACUUCUGGUUUGCUGAUGACGCUUUUUCUUGUUUCCUAUGAUGUCAUCAUAUUCUCUUCAAAGAAUUUUUUCUGUUACUUUGAUGGGGAUGUUGGAGGUCGGAGAGUUCAGACAUUAAAGAACUUGGUGAGACUGGAAAUGUCUGGGUGCCAGAUGACUCUCAAGCCCACACCAUCUUCAGCUUUCCGGGGCCAGAGGAGGCUGAUGGCAAGGAGGAGAAACAAGGUUUUGAAAAACACCGUGUUCAUUGCAGAACAUUGGGAGGCACCAAGGGAAAAGCAAAUUCACCUACUAACUGUCCUAUUACCCAGAAAUAAAUCACUGUCAACAUUUUGGUGAAUUAUAUUUCCAGCCUGCUUCACAUCCCCUCAAACCGGUAACCUGUUUUUUGUAUACAACACUCAGGAACAUUUCCAGGUCAUGCAUUUUCUAAAUAUAAUAAACAUUUUAAGAAUUUUUUUCUUAUGAAAAGGAAAAAUAAGACAUCCAAACACUAUUUCUGAACUGACCCUCCAGGCCAGGCGGAUGGAUGGCGUCCCCCAAAGCGCAGAUGCUGCCACCUAAAGGAGAGAUGCUAAAAAUACUGCAGUGACAUGUUAGAUGUGUUAAGCUGUGCUGUGAAGGGGGCUAAUUUUGUUUUGUUUUGUUUAAAACUUUCCUUCCUCUUGCCAGACUGGUUUUCCUCCUCCCUUUAAAAAGU